rnacentral:lncRNA from 1 species
AUGAUCCAAGUCAAAAACAAAUUUAGACUGAAAUUGGGUAUUGUGCAAACCCAGAGAUCUGGUUCCAAUGUGUUCUUUUGUGACAUGAUCUCUGAACUUUACACUCUUCACCCUAGUGACCUGACUUCUCACAAACACUUAAGCUGAUAUGUGAGAAAGUCUCCUGGUCUUUAGGUGUCACAUAUCUAGUUCCCCAAGAAAGGAUUUGUGCCAGAAGGAGAAUCUACCACUUGUGGUCUCAUCUGUAACAUGUAGGGACCCAGAGGUGAUUAAAAGUUGUCAUGCUGCUGGGGUGAUGCUGUACAAUUUUAUAAGGUCUAGGGUGUGUGUGUGAGGGGGGAAAUAGGUCAGGGAAGAUUCUAAUUUAAAUUUUCAGAAUAUUGAAGGAUGAAAACUUUUUCCACCGAUUGCACUCAAAUGCAUGCCUACUUUACAUCUGACUGCAAAUGAAAAAAUACUGGUUUACUCUUUUUAUUAAAGGAAAAAGACUGUCUUAAUUAUUUAUAGUUCCUAUAACUGAAUUGACAGAUGUCAACUUAACUGAUAAAUUAUAUUUGGUUAAAUAAAGAUGACAUUUAUUUAUGUGGAUUGUGGUGU